rnacentral:tRNA from 1 species
GGGGCUGUAGCUCAGUUGGGAGAGCAGUUGCCUAGCAUGCAAGAUGCCCCAGAUUCCAAUCUCAGCACCA